rnacentral:rRNA from 1 species
UCAGGCCUAACACAUGCAAGUCGAACGGUAACGCGGGGCAACCUGGCGACGAGUGGCGAACGGGUGAGUAAUGUAUCGGAACGUGCCCAGUAGUGGGGGAUAGCCCGGCGAAAGCCGGAUUAAUACCGCAUGAGACCUAUGGGUGAAAGCGGGGGAUCGCAAGACCUCGCGCUAUUGGAGCGGCCGAUAUCAGAUUAGGUAGUUGGUGGGGUAAAGGCCUACCAAGCCGACGAUCUGUAGCUGGUCUGAGAGGACGACCAGCCACACUGGGACUGAGACACGGCCCAGACUCCUACGGAGGCAGCAGUGGGGAAUUUUGGACAAUGGGCGCAAGCCUGAUCCAGCCAGGCCGCGUGCGGGAAGAAGGCCUUCGGGUUGUAAACCGCUGGGUCAGGGAAGAAAUCUUCUGGGCUAAUACCUCGGGAGG